UUCCGGUUGAUCCUGCCAGAGGCGACCGCUUUUGGAGUUCGAUUAAGCCAUGCGAGUAGAAAGAAAUUAGAUUCUUUGCGAACUGCUCAGUAACACGUGGAUAACCUGCCCUAUGCUCCGGAAUAACCUCGGGAAACUGAGAAUAAUACCGGAUAGAUCACAACGCCUGGAACGGUGUGUGGUUGAAAGAUUACGGCAUAGGAUGGGUCUGCGGCGUAUCAGGUUGUAGGGGGUGUAAAGGACCUCCUAGCCAUCGACGCGUACGGGUGUUGGGAGACAUAGCCCGGAGAUGGAUUCUGAGACACGAAUCCAGACCCUACGGGGUGCAGCAGGCGCGAAAACUUCACACUGCAGGAAACUGUGAUGAGGGAACUCCAAGUGCACGCACUUAGUGUGUGCUUUUUUCAACUAUUAAUCGGUUGAAGAAUAAGGGCUGGGAAAGACCGGUGCCAGCCGCCGCGGUAAUACCGGCAGCUCAAGUGGUCGUCGCUUUUAUUGGGCCUAAAACGUCCGUAGCCUGUUUGGUAAAUCUGUGGGUAAAUCAACCAGCUUAACUGGUUGAAUUCUGCAGAGACUGCCAGACUAGGGACCGGGAGAGGUGUGGGGUACUCUAGGGGUAGGGGUAAAAUCCUGUCAUCCUUAGAGGACCACCAGUUGCGAAGGCGCCACACUGGAACGGAUCCGACGGUCAGGGACGAAGCCUAGGGGCACGAACCGGAUUAGAUACCCGGGUAGUCCUAGGUGUAAACGCUGUGAACUUGGUGUCGGGGAUCCGUCAUGGGUCCCCGGUGCCGGAGUGAAGAUGUUAAGUUCACUGCCUGGGGAGUACGGUCGCAAGGCUGAAACUUAAAGGAAUUGGCGGGGGAGCACUGCAACGGGAGGAGCGUGCGGUUUAAUUGGACUCAACGCCGGGA
rnacentral:rRNA from 1 species